AUUUAAAUAUUAACUAUUAGUUGUUGGAGCGCAGUAGUGAAUUGUAGAACUGCCGCUAAAAGAAAAAUACAAACAAAAAUGAAUUUUUUAAAGUGGUUUACGAUUGCGUUUUUUAUACUGGCAAUCACUUUAUCCGAAUCGCAAGCUGGAUGGGUACAAAGGACUCUUAAACCAAUUCAAAGAUUUGGACAAAGAAUACGUGGUGCAACAUUACAAACAAUUGGAGUUGCUCAAAAAGCAGCCAAUGUUGUAGCUACUUUACAACGUGGUUAACAAACAAAUGGAAAAAAUAAUUUAUUGGUUAUUUAUAGUUUUUUUUUUUAAUGUUGUUGGAAUAUUUUAAUUUUUGAUAAAUUGUACAGUAGUAAAAUAAUUUAAAUAUAAGAAAUUUUAGAAUUUCAUCAAUAUAGAA